CAUGCCUAGGGAGGCAGCAGUGAGGAAUAUUGGUCAAUGGGAGAGAUCCUGAACCAGCCAAGCCGCGUGAGGGAAGACGGCCCGAUGGGUUGUAAACUUCUUUUGUCGGAGAACAAAACCCGGGACGAGUCCCGGACUGCGUGUAUCCGAAGAAAAAGCAUCGGCUAACUCCGUGCCAGCAGCCGCGGUAAUACGGAGGAUGCGAGCGUUAUCCGGAUUUAUUGGGUUUAAAGGGUGCGUAGGCGGUCCGUUAAGUCAGCGGUAAAAUUGCGGGGCUCAACCCCGUCGAGCCGUUGAAACUGGCA
rnacentral:rRNA from 1 species